UUUCCCAAGCGCUUCGCACAGCGCCCUGCACCCGGUAAGCGCUCGAUAAAUACGACCGAAUGAACGUCCUGCAAGAUCGUAUUUACCGAUUCCCAACUCUGUUCGGUUGUAGUCUCCCCCGCGCUUAGUGCCGGGUUCGGCACGCGGCAGGCGCUCGAUAAAUGCGAUCAGUUGAUUGAACCGUUGCACUGGGCGGCGCGGACAGUGACCCUUUCGCUCAUUUCACAUCGAGAGUAACCAUUUAACGGCUCACUUCACAUGGAGAUCUUCUGGGAGUCAGCCGGGGCGGCGGCUAGCGGGUGGCAGGCCGUCGGCUACCGGGCAAAACUCCCCCGUGCCGGGCAGCGGCGGCGCGGGAGGGAGUCGAGGUCGGAGACUCGACUCUACCACGCGCACGGUCAACCGCUUCUGGAUUUCGACCGAGGAAACUCUCCGGAUCCACUACGGGGACCACGGCGGACGGAGGCGGGACGCUCCGGGAGAGAUGCGGCGGCGACCCGACGGGACGAGGACUCGGUACGGGGUUCCGCCCGUAGUAAGUACUCGAUAAAUACGACCGACCGAUCCAUCGAUCCGUGGGAGAACGUUUAAUGAGGGUGGAAAAGAGGUCCGACCCGAACUCCGAGCGUUCUCCCCAGGGACGACGCUUCGUCAGGCCGACUCUAAACAGACCGUGAUGUAUUUGCGGAUGAAAGCCUCGUUGGACUCUUCCUUGAGGUAAAAGUGCCCUCCGGGACGCUUGUGAAUAUCGCAGCUUCCGCUGGUUAAGUCCUUCCAGCCUGAAAUGAAGACAGUGAAAUGCAGUCAGUUUUUUCUACUUUUUUUUU